GCAUAUCAAUAAGCGGAGGAAAAGAAAAUAACAAUGAUUCCCCUAGUAACUGCGAGUGAAGAGGGACAAGCUCAAAUUUUAAAUCUGUCGGGUUCUACCUGACCGAGUUGUAAUUUGAAGAGGCGUUUUCUGUGUUUCUGAUCAGUCCAAGUCCUUUGGGAUAAGGCAUCACGGAGGGUGAGAAUCCCGUUCGGUUGAUCAGAUUCGCUUUACGAUACGCUUUCGAAGAGUCAAGUUGUUUGGGAUUGCAGCUUAAAAUGGGAGGUAAAUUUCUCCUAAGGCUAAAUAACGGCGAGAGACCGAUAGCGAACAAGUACCGUGAGGGAAAGAUGAAAAGAACUUUGAAAAGAGAGUUAAAUAGUACGUGAAAUUGUUGAAAGGGAAACGAUUGAAGCCAGUCGUACCUGCGGGUAAUCAGCCUUUUGGGCAUGAUUCCGUGGAGUGUGAGGAGUUAAACGCCUUCAUGCCUGCAUAUUCGUGUACUUUGGGUGUACUUGCCUGUGUGGUUAGUUAACAUCAAUUUUGGUUAUCAUAAAAUGGCUGGAGGAAUGUAGCUUCGAUCUCGAUUGAAGUGUUAUAGCCUUCGGCAGAUGUGAUGAUCGGGAUUGAGGAUUGCAACGGAUACCCUUCGGGGCUACCUGUCUGAUCUCUGAUCGUUGCUUUGGUGCCGAAAGCGUGCUUACGGUUAUCAAAGUCGAUGGUUAAUAGGUUAGAACGGGUUAAAUUCGUUAAGGAUGUUGACGUA
rnacentral:rRNA from 1 species